AGUGAACGCUGGCGGUAGGCCUAACACAUGCAAGUCGAACGGCAGCACAGUAAGAGCUUGCUCUUACGGGUGGCGAGUGGCGGACGGGUGAGGAGUACAUCGGACUCUACUUUUUCGUGGGGGAUAACGUAGGGAAACUUACGCUAAUACCGCAUACGACCUACGGGUGAAAGCAGGGGAUCUUCGGACCUUGCGCGAUUGAAUGAGCCGAUGUCGGAUUAGCUAGUUGGCGGGGUAAAGGCCCACCAAGGCGACGAUCCGUAGCUGGUCAGGGAGGAUGAUCAGCGACACUGGAACUGAGACACGGACCAGACUCCUACGGGAGGCAGCAGUGGGGAAUAUUGGACAAUGGUCGCAAGCCUGAUCCAGCCAGACCGCGCGGGUGAAGAAGGCCUUCGGGUUGGAAAGCCCGUUUGUUGGGAAAGAAAAGCAGCAGGCUAAUACCCAGCGGUUCUGACGGUACCCAAAGAAUAAGCACCGGCUAACUUCGUG
rnacentral:rRNA from 1 species